GGAGAAGGAAGGCGGGAGUGGCUGAGAAAUGGCGCCUUGAGUGGUUGUUGCCACUGCGUGCCUCAAAGACAGUCAUCCAGACUUAUUCAGCCCAUUACGCCUACACUAUUGGUUCUGUUGUGAAGCCGUGCUGCCGCGACUUGGCGUGAAGGGGAGACAGGCUGCUUAACUUCCAAGAUCCGAGAGGAACCUUUGCUGCCCAGGCAUGGUGUGAACGUGAGCACCACCAGAGGGUGUUAUGAGAACCUGUGUUCUGCUUUGAAAUGAGCUCUAUGAUCAAUCCAGUCCUUUUUCCUGGGACUGGGAGAGAAGCCAUCGUGAAGUGGGGAUUGGCCUCUUCUCCAGGUAACUACUGAUAGAAUUAGAGGUAACGGGUUUAAGUUAUGCCAGGAGAGUUGCAGCUUGGAUAUUAGGAAACAGAAAGAGUGGUGAAGCAUUGGAUUAGGCUGCCCAGCGAGGUGGUGGAGUCCCUGGAGGUGUUCAAGAAACGUGUAGAUGUGGCCCUGAGGGACAGGUUUAAUAGGCACGGUGGGGAUGUGUCGAGAACUGGACUAGGUGAUCUUAGAGGUCUUUUCCAACCGUAUUGAUUCUAUGCUUCUACACUUCUAAUUUAGACACACUAAUAAGAAAUUGGAGAAGAUAAUACUGAUAAAUAAUACUCAUUAUUUUUUUCAAGUCCAAAAAUUACAGUAAUUUAAAAUAUUUAGUAUUGCUUUUAGAACAUGAAGAUAAUCAGUCCUGCAGAAAAUAUAAAAAAGAAUUAAUACCUAGAAGAUAAAGCACCUAAAGAACACAGUAGUAAAUGUUAAUCAGGAAGCAUUUUAUGGAAAGACAGAUGAGCCAUGUACCUCUCACAGUCGUAAAUAUUCUUUGUGAUUACGGUUUUCUUUGUUCUCUCCUAGAGAAGGUUCCUAUAUUUGUUUAUUGCAGUCUAUUUAUAGACUUAAUGGAACCAGGUGAAGCAAGAAUAAAUAUUUUCCUGAUGAAUGGGGAUGUUUAAACCUCAUAUAAUACAACCGGACAACGCUUCUCAAUGUGCUGAUUGUAAAAAUAGCACAAUCCUUAUUUGCUGAUAGAUUCAACUGUUGUCAGGAGCCAUUUGUCAGAGGUGAAGGAAGAAGACUGCAGGUUGUAUCUGCCUUUUUUUUUUUGAAAGCUUUAUCAUAUUUUUCUGUUGUAUUUUACAAGCAGUGGGGGAUGGUUACAAGUUAAUGAGAUAUUGGAAGUAUUUCAAACAAGUGGUACGAGUUUCAGUAUCAAAACUAAUAACAGGUAUUGAUUACAGAUAACAGGUAUUGCUGCAGUGAAAGAUGCAUGUAAGAAAUGUUUUUACAUCAACAUUACAGGUUUGGUUAUAAACAUCCCCUCUCUAACAAGACUUGUAUCUAAAAUGCUAGUUGAUGUUUAGUUGCAUCUGAAUGACCUCUGAUUAAAGAAUACUAAUGGGCCUCUUUCACCGUUGAAUUUACUUGUGCAGUCAGCUAUACAUGUAGGAAAUAAGCCAUCAGAGUAUGGCAAACAUUUCUGGAAAAGUGGUUUCCAGUAUUCUUUGGCAGGUUUGUGAGCGUGCAGAGUGAAUGGGCAGUUUGCAAAGCAGGCACAUUUUUUUUAAUGUCUUUUAUUCAUCAGCUGUAUAUAUGUUACAAAUACAUAUUUUUGUGAUUGACUUAUAUGCAGUGAUUACACAGCAAUUAUUGAUAGAUACAUAAAUACAUAAAGAACAAAGAGUUGUUUUACAAAAACUUAUGAUGCACAUGAUUUUAUCAGCUCUAGUAUUGAAUGGACUUUUUGUUUCACGUGGAAGUUUAUCUAUUAAGUGACUGAUAUGACUGACUGACAAGAAUGGGAAAACCUUUAUAGAGAAGACCAAUAAAAAUGCAUUCGUUUUCAUGUAUGUACACUGUUAUUUGCAUUAUAUCAGUAAUCUGGAUGAAACCCCUGCAUAUUUUCAUGGCAGAAAUAACUGCCAGAGAAGGGUGUCUGCAAGAUUUCUCCAGGACAGUGAUAACACGUGACAUAAUGGAUUGUGCACAGUCCAAACCUCUGUCAGACAGGCUUCCAAAGAAACUGAAGUUUCUGCAGCAGAGGCUACGGAAUAAAGGCCUUUGACUCGAUCAGCUCACAGCUGUUUCUAGUGUUAGGUAAGAACCUAUACCAAGCUAGAGUUUCAUUUCACAUUUCACAUUGCACCUUUCCCUGUCCUUGGUAAAUAGCUUUUCUAAAUACUUGUGAAAUAAAUGUUUUGUUUAGAAAGCUACAGCUCAGAGAAUAUUGAAGAUGUUGAUACAGCUCAUAAACUGUGCCAGUCCAGGCAGAAAUAUAAUUUAAGAAACUCAUCUUUUGCCUUCCAGUCUGAUCCUUUUUAAUGCCAUAUUAGAUUGUUAUUUACAGCUGUUUUUUUUCAGUAAGAUAGGAGCAAUUCUUUACCAGCAGCACAACAGGUAUUUAUUUGGCACGCAUUAAGAGGUACGGUAGAAAAAAAAUGGAUUUGUUGCACAUUCUUGUUAAAAUCUGAGCUUGUAACAUCUACUUAUUAAAUAUCAGUGCAAUCAGCUAGUGACACUGAUCCAUGGAAAACAUCACAAAGUGAAAAGCUAGCUUAUUUUGGUGUUCUCCUACAUGAUAAAUCUUGUAUAUUUUUUAAAACAUAUUUUUCCAUGCACCUUUUCUUCUCUAAAAUGAAAUUUCUAACGCCAUGGCUUGUCACUACUGUUUUGCCAGCCUGUUUAAAACUAAUUCCUAAAAUCUUUGCAAAGCACUCUGCUUUUCUGCCUCCUACCGCACUUUUAUAUGUUUUAACUUACAGGAAUACUGUUCAGCACAUCUCUUUUAAGUUACUUUCAAAGUAUGUUGUUAAAUAUACAACUGUAACGGCUCCUGAACUGAAAGUGGCUGUGUGUUUUGGUGGGCUUUCAAAAUAUUCUGCACAAAACACAGAUGUGACACAUCAAGUAUACAGCUUUGCCACACAGGUCUCCAAAACAUACAGUCAGUUUUUUACAUUCAUGUGAAUUUUAGCACGGUUGUUCCAAACAGCCAAUUCAACUCUCUUUCACAGGGUGCAGUGAAAGUAGUACAGUUUGGAUACUCAUAAGCAACCUAUUUAAUUCUGUAUUUCUCAUUCCCCAGUUUGAAAAACAAAACAAGACAAAAAAAUGUUUAUUAUUUCUGUGUUUAAUAAUAUUUUUUUCUUUAAUCUGGAGUUAAGCUUACCUUGAGCUUUUGCUUCUCAUUCUUAAACGUAUUUUUUAAAGCAUUCUGAAUGUAAUGCUUCUCAGAGUUGCUGUUUUGGAAUCUACAGGGUUUGUAGCAAUAUGUUGAAUAACUAAACUGAAAACUAAGGACAGAUGCCAUUGCAGAUUUCUUCAUGCUUUCCCACUGACCUACCUUUAACUGCAUCGGAGGCACUUCUGCAUUUUAGCACACGCUGUCAUCAACUUUGUCACGUUCUAAGAGCUUCCAAAACAUACUUGGUGCUGUCUAAAUCCUGAGAGGUGACAGGUAAAACAGACAAACGUAUCCUGAAAAAAAAGUGUAGUUCAAUUGAGUUGAGUUUCACUGUUGAUAGCAUCAUGGUUAAACACUGCAGUGUUCCUUCCAUAAUCCAGAUCCAGAUUUCUUACUGCAGCUCGAGUUCUACAUUUUGAAUUACACCAUCCCAGCAAUGAUGAACAAUUCUUCUGCUAACAAGUUGCUGAAACUACCAGCAGAGAUGUCAGCUAAAAGAUGCACAGUUGUAGCACUACUAGUAGCAGUGAGAACAUAAACUAACAGACAUUUUUUGAUGCUUCUUAGCACUCAUCACAACAAAAUCCAACUCUUCAAAAUUUAAUUGCAUCUCAAAUUUCUAUUGAGCUGAUUACAUUUAGGAUAUUAACUGCAGCUAGAAUGUAAAAUGUCAUGCAGCAGUUACGAAUCUCUAAGAUUUUAACUGCAAUCUUUUCAUCUUCAUAAAAAAAGUUAUUUUCACAGUACUGAUGAAUUUCUUAGCAGGAAAAUGUUUUUAUUUAUCUUCAUAUUUAUUGGCAAAUGAGGUAUUAACCUCAGCAUCUAUGUAUAUAAACACAAAAUGUAGCACUUUAUUUACCCAAAUACCAAUUGUUUUGUAAUGCUUCUAACAGUAGCCACACACACUUCUAACAGUGAGAAUCCAUGGGACUUACCCAUUCGCACCUACAAAGGAAACUGCUGGAGAAGGGAACCACUACAUGCUGUGCUGCAUCUUGCAUGGUACAGGUUAGCUGCAAAUAUGAAAAUAUGGCUUCUCACACCUGUUUAACAAGUUUAGCAGAACAGACAGAUUAAUUGUAACUACAAAAAAUAAAACAAAAUCCAACUGUACUGCCAAGCUGGCAUAAAACUGGAAUGUAUGCUAUUAUCACACUUGCUUAGGAGCAGAAAUUCUCGUAAGUACAGUUGGUUAUUUGGGUGUCACAAAACUUGUAUGGAGAUUCCUCUGGCUGGAGGAUUUAGUUAUUGAACUUACGCAGAGUUAAGCCUUACUCCUCUUGGUUUCAGAAAACAGUACUUAGUCAAAAUCCAGUUGUCUCAGAAAUCAGCUAAAAUUUUCUGAUGUUCUUAGUAAUAAUUGGACCAUCUCCCAGCAUUAAGAACAUGAAUAUUCAUUAAAAUAGAAGCUGCAGUUCAGUUAAUGAUAAUAAUCUGUUUUUUUCCUGACUGCACAGUUCUUUUCAGUGCUUCGGAUAAUCGAGGAGAAACAGCAAAGGGAAACUAUUACUUAACAGUAAGACUUUCAGGUUGCAAUAAUGUACUGAAAAUCAAGGGGCAAUGUUUUGCACUGUAAAAUGUCUUAAUUUUUAAUGCUUUUGGUUUGCUGUAUUAAAAAUUACUACUGGAAGUUACAGUAAUUUCUUGAUAUUAAGUUGCCAUCCUUGUGAGGUUAGAAAUCCAAGGGGAACAACCUGUGAGGGCCAGAGCCAGAAGAGAUGUUACAAGGCAAAUCUCACAGAACAUCCACAGCUGGUCAAGAACAAACCAUUGAUUAUGACUCCAUCUUGGGAAUAAAUCAGCCAGCAGGGCUUUCUGAGAGGUGCAAAAAGUUAGCAAUCCCUUGCUUUCCAGGAGUGAAAAUGAAGGCUAUUACUACAGCAAUAUGGAGGAAAGUGCUUAAGCCAUCCAUUGUAUUGACUCCAGUGUCACCACCACGAAUGCAAAUGCAUUUUGAUGACUUGAGCAAUCUGAGAAGGUAAACAGGAGAGGAAUAUACUGACCACCCUGCAAUUCCUCCCUUCAGAUUUAACCACACAGAAGCACAUGGGUGAAAUAUUUGGUUUCAGCUCACGCCAUACAAUUCUUUUGAGAAAAAAGGGACGGUAAACUUAGAAAGUCUCAAAUAGUUAGGAACACACCCAUCACAUACACAUUUGACUUCAGGAGAUAAAAGACUGUCACACAGAAUAAAGAAUGAUACGAUCGGUUUAACUCAAACUUGUGAGAUGAGCUACACGACAAAAAGCAGUAAAUGAAGCAAUACUUAGACCGUGCCCGAGGAUAUGCAGAAAGAGGGUGUGGGAAAGAAAGCUGGCAGUUUAUGUCAAAGAUGCAUCUAUCUCAUAAAAUUAAAUAGUGCAAUAAAAAGGUUCACAAUUGAAGCCAUUUAUCUCAUUAGAAAAAUAGUAUUUUUUAUUCAGAGGUAUUUUCUGAACAUUUAUCCUUAUGAGAACUGUUACCAUGGGUGACAUCAGCCUGAGACACAAUGCUGACAUUCCUGUGGAUGGAAGACUAAAGAGUCACUGGGUACUUAAACAGAUCAGGAUGAGGUUUAUUUUUACAAAGCACCUGUCAGUGCAACUAAAUGGACAAAUGUAGAAGUGAAAAACAUUAAUGAGAACAAGAAAUUACUCAUAUUCCCCUUACGCUUCUUGAACAAGCAAAAGCUUUUCAUGUGCCAAGAAAAUAACACUGGCCAAGAAGGUACUCUGGUGAAAAGAUGACACAAUAAAUAAGAUUUGAUGGGUUAAUGGCUGGGGGCAGGGAGGGGAUACAUCAACAAGUAUGUUAUGAACCCAAAAACAAAUACAGAAUAAGAAUUACAAAAUGGUCCGGGUUGGAAGGGACCUCAGGGAUCAUGAAUCUUCAACCCCUCUCACCACAUGCUGGGCCACCAACCUCUGCAUUCAAUACUAAACCAGGCUGCCCAGGGCCCCCAUCCAAUCUGGCCUUGAACACUUCAGGGAUGGGGCAUCCACAGCUUCUGUGGGCAGCCUGUUCAGAAUCUGUGUAACCCAAAACAAUCAACAGUUUUCAAAAUUACUAAGCUUACAGAAUUAAAAAACAACAACAACAACAACAAAAAGCCCAACAAUUUGCAGCAAAUGGGGAACAUCUGUCAAAAGGAAGAAUUUCACAUCAACAAGGGUGUAUAAUUAACAACAACAAAAACAAUUAACUGAAAAUUACCUUUGCCAAACUAGCUACAUGUCAUACAAUCAGCUGAAUGCAAGAGUGAAAUAUUGCCAAAAAAUAAGGCAACAGAAUCCAAAACAGUGAAUAAUUUGAUAAGAGUAACUUUGAGCCAGUUAAUUGGAGAGCUCUCUUUAGAGAAACAAUGGAUGCAUUAUCUGAUCAACAAAGGAGGUGCUAACAAGGAAAAGCUGGCCAGCAUCAUGGCAAAAAGGUAUUGUCAAAAACAUGACCUGGCUCACAAAGGAAGGAAGCAAAAAAGACAAACAAAAUUAAAUAAAUAAAUGUACAACAUGGAAUGAUUGCCAUCUUCUUCUCUUCCACUGUAUCAGCCCACAACAUUUGGUCUCCUUUCCAAUGAAAAACAGGGAACAUCGCAAAUAAGAGAAGCCCCUUCUCUUGUGAUGCAUUCCACUGCUGCACCGUUCCCUCAUUAAACAGCACUAAGCGUAGCGUCAAGUUCAGCCAGCAAAGCAGGAGGGAAAAAUGAUUUCAUGCAAAUAAAGUCUUAAAUCAUCCUAUGCACUGAAACAAUAUUAAAACACUGUUUUAGAACUCAAGAUUAAAGAGAGAGAGAGAGAAAAAAAAAGAAGAGACGACCAGAGUUACUUUCAAACAUUUUUCAUGGCAGAUUUUUAAACCAGGGUCUUUGACAGAUAGAGCUGUUGAAGAACAGACAGUGGCAGAAAAAAAAUCGUGGCAGAGGACUGAAAGGGAAGAUUUUUCAAGCAGUCUCAUGAAGGCAAGUCAAGACCACAGUCUCUCUCUCUCUGCUAUUUUACCUCACCCCUUCCCUUCUUGGUAAUGGAUGUUGUCCUGAUCUGAGGCAUUAAUCCUGACAUGAAUGCUUCAUUAUGGAAAACUUAAAGGAUUAUGAUUUAGGCUUCUGGCACUUUGAGGCCCAAGUGUGUAAAUGCAUGUUAUUUCAGAGCCUCUGAUUCUAUGCAUUUGAUAGAUUUGAUGGAACCAUCUUUCUCCCAGCUCAGACUAACACCAAAGGCUGGCUUCAGUUCUCAUUUUUUGUCGUUUCAAAGUAUGCCUUCAUGCUAGGUUACAAAUGUAACCAUUAAGUCAUGGAACCUAGGUUCAAGCUUGAAAUGCAGAGGGUACGAUUGAAUGUACUAGGCAAUUAACACUGGGAAGAUUGUAAAAUAUAGCUAAAGACACAAGAAUGAUGCUAUAUAAGGACAUCCAACUUUUCUUGUUACUAUGACGUUGGCUAUCCUUAACACAGCACUAUGAAUGAUAGCGACACAAGACAUUUUUAAAGAUUUGUUUAGCUUAGUAAUCUCUGAAGUCCUGAAAUCCAGGCACGCUGCACUAAAUAUUACAAAGUAUACAGCAGAGUGUUUAAAGCUUAAAAAUAUUUUAUUUACACUUCUCUUUAUACACAUUUUUAUACAAUUUUUUUUUUCAGUUUAAAAACUGAACAGAGCACAAAUGCAAGUCUGAGCAUACUGUACCCACAGCUAGGGAAAAUUACCUUCUGCCAAAAAGAGACAAGAGAAAAGGCUUUUUAAAACAGUUUAAAAGAGGCAAUCAUAAAUUUUUUCAGAUAAGUAUAUAGCAGCCCUGAUGUAGUCAUUAGACAGUUAAUCCAAAUGUACAUAUGAGGUCACAUAUAUAUUUAUAUAUAUAUAUAACAUUAAUUUUAUAUAGGAAAAGUAUUUCCAAUUGCUAGACAUAAACACAGCAGACUUCGAAAAUAACUUUUCCUGUUAUCAAAUACAUUCCUUUCAAUACAAAGAAUCUGAUAUUGUACACUAGAAACAAGUGGGAUACUAUAGCAGAAUUGCAUUCUCCAGCAUAUAAUAAUAUACUUUAAAAAGAUCUAAAAAAAUAACAAUAUAUAGGGAAAAAUAUUUAAAAUUAAAAAACAUAGCUCAAUCUUCCCUUCACCUGUUCCCAUAACUGAUGUAGAAGUUAGGUGGGUUCCACUGAGGUAAUAAAAGCCCCCUAAGCACAGCUGCAGUACAGUCCUACAUAACACUGUAUCUCCUAGACUUACAGCAAAGCUUUCUCUACCGGACCCAUAAAUUAAAUCUACCAUCUGCAAAUAGAAGUGGUUUUCCCCUAGCUACCAACUCAAUAUUAAUCCAAAGGUAUCUGACCAAGGAAAGCUAUUUUAAAAGACUAUCUAAAUGUUAAUUCUAAUUUGGGGAAAAAAAAAAUAGUAGCGAUCUAGUGAAGCUUUGCACAAAGAAGUAGGUUUUUCUGCCACCUGCCACAUGACUGCUUUUAUAAUGUUUGCCUACAGAAAGGGAAAGUCUAAAUUGUUUACAAACAUCCAAACAUAGAAUACAGAUGCAAACGUAGUCAUUAAUAUUUAUUUUAAGCAGCUUCAAAUUGCUUUACAAACAUGAAAACCUCAAAAUGUUAGCUACAGGACACUGGCAAGCUCUGUUCUAAACGGAUUACAUGCAUCUCUCCACUCUGUUCUCUCCCACAUUCCUUCAGUGCACCCUGCCACAUGGGACAGACCAUACUGACUGAAGUAACUUCACCAGGUAUUUGUUACUAAAUGAAGAACAGGCUGGAUGUUUUCUUUCAUUACCAAACCCCUGUAAGCACUUAGGCACACAUUUAAUCAUGUUUGUGCCUUUAUGCUUUCUUUUACGUAACUUAGAGCUUUAUGAAUUCUUUAUACGGGACUCUUCACGUGUGUAAAGUCCACAUUUGAAGCAUUAAAAAGAAUGAGGGGCCCAAUUCACUACUUUUCUAAUGAAAAAUACCUUUAAAAGGCAAAUGUGAUCUACAAAUGUGAUUGUCUCUAUUUCUAAAAAGACCUUGUCAUUUACAAAGGUGAAAGAAAUUUAUUUUUAGGGUAAUUUGCAUCUCCCUAUAAUGCUUACCUUCAUUUCACGAAAGAACAGACAUAAUGAGCUAAGCAGUGCUUUUCUUUUCCUUUUUUCAUUUGUACCUGUUGAAUGUUAUCCUUCAGUUCCUGAGCACCAGUGCUUCGUUCUUGACGCAAAUAUGUACUGUAUUAUCGGCAGGAAAAAAGGCAGCCCUUGUGUUUGUAAGGCAGGAGGUCUGUAAGAAAUAAUGGCUGCAAACCUCGGAGACCAGAGAAAUAUUGAAGUCACAAACCCUUAGAACUAGUAUGAACUGCCACACUGCAGAAAGUGGGGCAUCCCUAUGUUUCAAAGGAGGUAACAAAAGCAGGUUGCCAGGUACGUGACACACAGCUACUAGCCCCUCUCGCUGGCAGUGCUUUCUGAAAGAGCAGAUCCUUAGAAAAACUACAUACUGCCUCCCUGCAGUUGAAUCAAAGGGGAAAGAAUUUCAAAAGGGUUUUUUUCAGCCUAAUACCUCCCACUGUGAAACCACUGCCAACACCUCGUGGGGAAAAAGUAAGCUAUUUUUUCCUUAUGUAGUAGUCUGCAAAGAAUUAUCUGUUCCAUUACAACAGACAUAGCAGCAAGCUGAAUGGCAACAGGCAGCGUUCAGCCAACUCACAGAAGCACUAUGCUUUUUAUCCAUUCUGGAUCAUUUGGAAAUAAAACUCCUUCCUGGAGUUAGAUGCUAAAUUAAGAAGUGAAGCCGAUAAUUUUUUGCUAUGAGCGUGAAUAAACUAGACUGUAACUCACUAUGUCCACCUUUUCUUAAGGAAAGGCAAGUACGCUUGCAAUUUUAAAGGAGGUCAUAUGUUAAAUUUUAAAUAUCUAGGCAAGACCAGAUUUGCAAGUGUUGUAGGAAGGACGGAGUGGAAAUAGACAAAACCCCCCUCAAACUUCCCAAUCAAAAAUUGCAACUUACCUUCUUCUUGACAAAUGAAAGAUGCUUUUAAAAUCCUCCCUCUUUUACCCAGUUUACUUUUGUUUUUAUUUUAACACUUAACAAUCUAGGGCUAAAACUUUCAAUAAAACAGAAGAUACCCCUGUGACAUAGAACACAACGAUAACUGCCUCACAAGUUCCACUGCAGUGGAAAAGAGAACAGAAGCCUCAAAUUCAUGCUUGAAACAAUAAAAACAUGGUAGAAAUGUGAAUUAACAAAACAUUCUCACAUACCCCUGUGUUACACCCAGCUUCUUGAAGACAAGACUGCAUGGAGGCCCUAACCAACAGUUCAAGCUAGAAUUUCACAAUUCUGAACAAUAUCUUUCAGAUCUGAACAGCUGGAGAUGAACAGGAACUUAAAAGCAGAGCAUCUAAAAAUGAUCUGGUUCUUAAUGCUUCAAGUAUCAAUACACACCAAAGCCUUCACUAGCAGUUGCUUUGCCGACGAAACUCAGAAGUUGCUUAAAUACAGACCUGAAACAUAACUUGAAACACUUCCAUCGUUACCAUGACUUCUAAUUAAGUCUUAAGUAACAUCCAUUUACUACACCUGAAUCAUGGAAAACCAGAUUCCCAGAACCACAUCCAUUUCCCAGACAAGCCCUUGUGGUAUAUUACUGUAUGCUACAAGGGCUGCUCCAAAAGUAAUGCCUCCUGUUUUAUUAUGGUGGCCUACAACAUCAGAGGUGGAUGUUGGUGGUAUGGCAGUAGAUUCUGAACCUUCCCACCCAUAUUCCAUUCCCUUUUGUUGCUGUGUGACAGAUGGCUGCAUAGGGACAGCGUGACACAAUGAUGUCUAACAUGGAAGUGCAGGUGAAAUAAUGGUGUGGAAUUGAAUUCCUCCACGUGGAAAAAAUGGCACCUACUGAUGUACAACACUCACAGAAUGUUUCUGGAGAUCCAACAGUGGAUGUGAGCACAGUGAAGUGGUAGGUGGUGGAUUUUAGCAGUGGUGACAGUGACACUGAAGAUAAGCCACAUCCCAGAUGGCUGCUCACAGAUGUCACACUACAAGAUUUAUCCACGUGAAUCAGCAGAUUGUAAUCAGGAAACUGUAUAGGAUAAGCGUCUACUUUAAUGUGUUGGAAAUAAUGUUGAAAUAUCACAAAGCUUGCACUGAGUGCCAGAAACGCUCACACAGGAACAGAAAGAACACUGUAUGAAAGUUUGUCAGGACCUACUGAGGCUGAAGGUGACAGUUUCCUCAACUGCACCAUUACCAGUGAUGAGAUGUGGUGUCAGCACUGAGUGACUGAGUCAAAAAUGCAGUCCUUGGAGCAGCAAGAUGUGAAUUUUCUAUCAAAGAAAAAGACAAGACACAGCUCUCAGCAAGUACAGUAAUGCCUUUUGGGAUAGGAAAGGCGAUCUGUCUGGAUUUCCUGGAAACUGGACAAACCAUCAACUCUGACCCAUACAUCAUGAUGCAGACUAAGCUGAAGGCUCUAACUUCCAGAGUCAGGCCAGAGAAGAAGACAAUCUUUCUCCUGUUACACAAUAACUCCAGGCCCCAUACAUGUUUGAAGACCAUGGAUCACACUGCCAAUCUUGGCUGGACUGUCCUACCACACCCACUGUGUAGUCUGCAUUUGGGGCCUUCUGAUUUCCAUCUGUUCAAGCUGAAGAAAGAUGGACAGCAUAGGCAACAUUUUCAAUGCUGGGGAACAGUGGGUCACCACCAGUGGGGGACACAAACUUUUAUAAUUGUGGCAUGCACGCUCUUGUUCAUUACAGUUGAGAAUGCAGAGCUAAUGGUGGCGACUGUGGUGAAAAGUAGUUUUGUAGCUCAGAAUUUGCUCUAUCAAAAUGUUAUUGUGCUCCUUGCAUAUGUUGUAGUUUCCAUGAAUAUAAACAGGAGGCACUACUUUCAGAGUGAGCUACAUAUUAUUAAGUCCCCUUGAAGCUUGCUCAAGCAGGAUUAGAUUUUUGCUGCCCCACACAUUUAUUAAGAAAUGAGGUUGUGACAAAAAGAGUAAGAAUAGUAAAGAAAAAGGUUUUGGCUUUUUUUUGUGCCCUAAUACUCUUUGAGAUAGAUACAGAAGAACCUUUUUACUUGCACACAGCCAGCACCUACUGGAAUCAGGUCAUCUCUGCACCUACAAAGGACAAUGUACGCACAAGUCUCACAGUAGAACUGAGGUUUUAGUGUAAAUAAAGUUGGCUUUAAGUUAGACUACUAGGAAAGUAAAUGAUAUUUCUCACUCAGUAAAGACUUAAAUUUAAAAGCAACCCUUAGUCUACAUGAGAAGGCUGAAAAUCAAUAUUUGGUCCAGUCACUACCGGCAUAGAUAACAUUAAUACAGCUGUGAUGGCAUAAAUUAUCCUUCCUGUUAACUUAUAGAAAGAAAAUGCUCAGUAAGUCAUUUUUAAGAAAAAAAAAUCUACUGAUCUGAUUUAGAUUAACACAUCUCAACCCAGAACAUAAUUACUACAAAGAUAUCACAAAUUAUAUAGAUGAGGAGUUGUAUACAUUGUUUUCACUUCUGUUGAUGAUUUAAAAUUCAGUUUAGGUAAGUAGAUGUUAUUUUUAACACAGGACAUUUUGCAGUGAUUUUGGUCCUUCUGCAAGUGCAUUCUUCUGAACUCCCUGAGUACUGUACAUUCCUCUUCUACAGUGAUUUUCAACUAGAAGAUGCUGAAUAAAGUCGAUUUGCAGUGCUGUCUAUUAAGUCUACUGCUUAAAGAAAAGCAAAGUAGCAUAAGACUUUAUAGAAGAUGCAAAUGCAUGUUUCAGUAUUUUCUCCCUACACUCCUGAAUCAAGUGUAAGCCUAUGAGUUACCCAAAUUUCUCCUUCAGAUUCUAUUGACGAUUGUUUUUACAACAUUAAAGAAAGUAAGAAUUGAAUUGUCAUUAUUUAUACCUUGGCAAAUCAUUCUUACUGAUAUCUGCAAGUUAACACAAUGGAGUUAUUAAAAGCCCUCAGGAACAGCACAUUUCAUUUCAGGCACUAUGAGGUCAGUAGCUACAGCCAUGAAAUUUGUUAUUUUUUUUUGUAGAAACACAAAUGGUAGUAGCCAUCCAAACACCUAACUCAAAACACAGUAGUUCACAGCAGCAAAUAAUUAAAAAAAAAACCCUACUAUUAAUAAAAGAUUUAUCACUUCUAUACGAGUACAAGCAAAGCCACUGCUGAGAAUACACUAUAGUACAUCCAGUUCUGAAAAUACCUGUGGGUCAAAGCAGUGCUGGUGAGCAUUCGCUUACUGACACUUUCCAUUUUCAUAAAAAACAAGACUGGUAGCACAUUCAUACAUAAAACAAACUCAGGUAAGAUGUAUUUAGUUUUUUAAAAUAAUUUAUAAAACAACAAAUUAUUAAGAGUUCGUUACGUAAAGUCAGUAUAAGGAUUUUAAAGUUACUGAAUCAAUCAGUAUAUGCUAAAGAUACUUUGAUACCAAAUGAUGCUUCCAGUUAUGUAAGAACUUUGACUUACUUAGCUCAUUAAUGGAUAAAACUACACCUUAAAUUUAACAGAUAUGGCUGAAUUUGUGCACUGGUUUAAAUAUAGCUGCAUGUAAAAAGGUUGUUUUUUGUUUUUUUACAAUGUAUAUGCAUGUACAUACUUUACUUACCAACAAACAUAAUGCAGACAACAGAAGGCAGCACAGAAAUAGUGUUUUAAAUAAUAAUAUUUUUAAAAAGUUAAAGUUUUUUCAAUUCAGUAGAAAAUGUGUAAUUCACAUUUUGGCAGACUUACCAGUACUAAUAUACAAAACUUGGAAAAAAACACAUGCAAAGAGACUGGAGGUUAUACUUAACAGUAUUUAAGGGAAAACAGAAACACCUUGCAGAUGUGAGAGUACUGUGCAGUUAAUGGGAAGAGCAUCCAAACACAACAUAAAACACAAAAAUGGUUUUAGCUUUGUUCUUUUAAACUUAAUUGUAUCCUACUACAGCUUAUGAGUUCUACUUUGAUGCUCAAUAAAAAAAGAGAAUCAGGUCUUUCUUCCUUCCACAAAUGUUUUGUUAAACUCAAUUGAUUUCAGAAGAAAUCUGGUACCGUGGCCACAGGAAAACAAACAAAAAACAAAAAAUCAAACAAGUAUGGACAUGAAAUGCUAUCAAAAGAAUAAGCACACCCCAAAAUAUAUAUUUUCUUUCCCCUGUUUACAACUGCAUUUGUUAAAACAAAACAAAAACAA